rnacentral:rRNA from 1 species
AACGAACGCUGGCGGCAGGCCUAACACAUGCAAGUCGAGCGCGCCCUUCGGGGUGAGCGGCGGACGGGUGAGUAACGCGUGGGAACGUGCCCUUCUCUGCGGAAUAGCCUCGGGAAACUGAGAUUAAUACCGCAUACGCCCUUUGGGGGAAAGAUUUAUCGGAGAAGGAUCGGCCCGCGUUGGAUUAGGUAGUUGGUGGGGUAAUGGCCCACCAAGCCGACGAUCCAUAGCUGGUUUGAGAGGAUGAUCAGCCACACUGGGACUGAGACACGGCCCAGACUCCUACGGGAGGCAGCAGUGGGGAAUCUUAGACAAUGGGGGCAACCCUGAUCUAGCCAUGCCGCGUGAGUGAUGAAGGCCUUAGGGUUGUAAAGCUCUUUCAGCUGGGAAGAUAAUGACGGUACCAGCAGAAGAAGCCCCGGCUAACUCCGUG